UGGCGAACGGGUGAGUAAUACAUCGGAACGUGUCCGCUCGUGGGGGACAACCAGCCGAAAGGUUGGCUAAUACCGCAUGAGUUCUACGGAAGAAAGAGGGGGACCCGCAAGGGCCUCUCGCGAGCGGAGCGGCCGAUGACUGAUUAGCCGGUUGGUGAGGUAACGGCUCACCAAAGCAACGAUCAGUAGCUGGUCUGAGAGGACGACCAGCCACACUGGGGCUGAGACACGGCCCAGACUCCUACGGGAGGCAGCAG
rnacentral:rRNA from 1 species